rnacentral:rRNA from 1 species
GACGUAGGGACCGAGCGUUGUCCGGAGUUACUGGGCGUAAAGCGCGCGCAGGCGGAUCAUCGCAUCAUCGGUGAAAGCCCCCCGCUCAACGGGGGAGGGUCCGGUGAGAUGGGUGAUCUGGAGGCAGGGAGAGGCGAGUGGAAUUCCGGGUGUAGUGGUGAAAUGCGUAGAGAUCCGGAGGAACACCAGUGGCGAAGGCGGCUCGCUGGACCUGACCUGACGCUGAGGCGCGAAGGCGUGGGGAGCGAACGGGAUUAGAAACCCCCGUAGUCC